GAUGAACGCUGGCGGCGUGCCUAAUACAUGCAAGUCGAGCGAACGGACGAGAAGCUUGCUUCUCUGAUGUUAGCGGCGGACGGGUGAGUAACACGUGGAUAACCUACCUAUAAGACUGGGAUAACUUCGGGAAACCGGAGCUAAUACCGGAUAAUAUUUUGAACCGCAUGGUUCAAAAGUGAAAGACGGUCUUGCUGGCACUUAUAGAUGGAUCCGCGCUGCAUUAGCUAGUUGGUAAGGUAACGGCUUACCAAGGCAACGAUGCGUAGCCGACCUGAGAGGGUGAUCGGCCACACUGGAACUGAGACACGGUCCAGACUCCUACGGGAGGCAGCAGUAGGGAAUCUUCCGCAAUGGGCGAAAGCCUGACGGAGCAACGCCGCGUGAGUGAUGAAGGUCUUCGGAUCGUAAAGCUCUGUUAUUAGGGAAGAACAUAUGUGUAAGUAACUGUGCACAUCUUGACGGUACCUAAUCAGAAAGCCACGGCUAACUACGUG
rnacentral:rRNA from 1 species